CGGGUGAGUAAUACAUCGGAACGUGUCUUCUAGUGGGGGAUAACUGCCCGAAAGGGCGGCUAAUACCGCAUGAGACCUGAGGGUGAAAGCGGGGGAGUCGCAAGACCUCGCGCUGGAAGAGCGGCCGAUGUCCGAUUAGCUAGUUGGUGAGGUAAAGGCUCACCAAGGCGACGAUCGGUAGCUGGUCUGAGAGGACGACCAGCCACACUGGGACUGAGACACGGCCCAG
rnacentral:rRNA from 1 species